UCAGCACCACAUAGAAACAAAAAUGCUGUGCCCGCCGAGAACUAAAAAAUAAAUAUUUUUUAAAAAAAAUGUGUGGCCAAACAGAGGGGCAAGGGCGUGGAGGGCUGGAUCUGCAGGGCCAGGGUAAGGAUGUCGGCCUUGACCCAGGUGGAACCCAGAGCCACCGCAGCGCUGUGAGCAGAAAGCAGGAGCUGAGCUCUAGAUACAAAAGUCACUCUGGGGGCUGCCUGGGGGAGUCACUGAAGGCCGAGAUGAAGGUGAACAAAGGUCAGGGCCUCCACAGAUUUAGACAAUGACACAGCAUGUGUGACGGUGAACUCAAGCAUGAUACCCCAAGUUCGUGGCCUGGGAGACGGGUGUUUGGGUCAAGGGGAUGCGUSUGGAAGGGCAGGGAAGCCCACCAUUCACACCCUUAUCCAUUCCUGAGGGCCUAGGAAGGGAGGGAGGAAGGAAAGGUCAUACCGAAAUUCUCAGAAGUCAAAGGAGGGUGGGCCAUUCUGAGUCAUCUACUUUUUAAGUGAAAGAUGAAUGGUUUGGAGUUAUAGAGAAAUCUGUGAAGAAAUCAUUCUACACUUCCUGGCUUAGAGGCCAGUUUUGCCACUUGUUCUCCUGAGCCAAUCGGUUUCCUUCCAAGAGUGAAAGGGAACUUCCCCUCAAACUAAUGUCCCUUCAGAAGGCCCUGCAGUGCCAGGAACCUUCAGCAACCGCCAGCUCCAGGCAGGGGCCUCACGCAGGGUUCCAACUAGGUUUUAUUUUAGUUUCCAAUAUUAUCAGCAAUGAUACAGGAGGAAUUCAGGCAAAUACAACACCUUAAAUACAUUCGAGAAAACUCGCUGGGUCGAGCUCGCCUUGCGCUCCAGAAACGAACAUGAACUAGAACAAGGUUAGCAGCAUCUAGUUAAAGUGCCUCUGCCACACUUCCUUCAGAAAUCGUCUCCCCUCGGUGGUGUGAAUUUAAUUUUACUUAUUGUAUAAGAAGCUCAAAAUUUCAUUUAUCCCCCAGGGGCUACACUGAAAAAAAGUUUUGUUUUUUUUU